rnacentral:rRNA from 1 species
AUUGAACGCUGGCGGCAUGCUUAACACAUGCAGGUCGAACGGCAGCAUGGUUUGUAGCAAUACAAACUGAUGGCGAGUGGCGGACGGGUGAGUAACGCGUAGGAAUCUGCCUUGAAGCGGGGGACAACUAGAGGAAACUCUAGCUAAUACCGCAUGAUAUCGAGAGAUUAAAGUUGGGGCAACCUGACACUUCAAGAGGAGCCUGCGUCCGAUUAGCUAGUUGGUAGGGUAAAAGCCUACCAAGGCGACGAUCGGUAACGGGUCUGAGAGGACGACCAGUCACACUGGGACUGAGACACGGCCCAGGCUCCUACGGGAGGCAGCAGUGGGGAAUAUUGGACAAUGGGGGCAACCCUGAUCCAGCAAUGCCGCGUGUGUGAAGAAGGCCUUUGGGUUGUAAAGCACUUUAGUGUGGGAAGAAAUGGCUCUGGUUAAUACCUGGGGUCGAUGACGGUACCGGAAGAAUAAGGACCGGCUAACUACGUGCCAGCCGCCGCAGAAA